rnacentral:rRNA from 1 species
GACGAACGCUGGCGGCGUGCUUAACACAUGCAAGUCGAACGGAAAGGCCCUGCUUUUGUGGGGUGCUCGAGUGGCGCACGGGUGAGUAACACGCGAGUAACCUGCCCUUGUCUUUCGGAUAACUUCACGAAACUGGGGCUAAUACCGGAUAGGAGAUCCUGCUGCACGGUGGUGGUUGGAAAGUUUCGGCGGUUGGGGCUGGACUCGCGGCUUAUCAGCUUGUUGGUGGGGUAGUGGCGUACCAAGGCUUUGACGGGUAGCCGGCCUGGGAGGGUGACCGGCCACAUUGGGACUGAGAUACGGCCCAGACUCCUACGGGAGGCAGCAGUGGGGAAUAUUGCACAAUGGGCGGAAGCCUGAUGCAGCAACGCCGCGUGCGGGAUGACGGCCUUCGGGUUGUAAACCGCUUUCGCCUGUGACGAAGCGUGAGUGACGGUAAUGGGUAAAGAAGCACCGGCUAACUACGUG